rnacentral:rRNA from 1 species
CCCUAUGUGAACGUUACAAACUGUUGCCUCGGCGGGAUUUCUGCCCCGGGCGCGUCGCAGCCCCGGACCAAGGCGCCCGCCGGAGGACCAAUUUACAAACUCUUUUGUAUAUCCCAUCGCGGAUUCUUUACAUUCUGAGCUUUCUCGGCGCUCCUAGCGAGCGUUUCGAAAAUGAAUCAAAACUUUCAACAACGGAUCUCUUGGUUCUGGCAUCGAUGAAGAACGCAGCGAAAUGCGAUAAGUAAUGUGAAUUGCAGAAUUCAGUGAAUCAUCGAAUCUUUGAACGCACAUUGCGCCCGCCAGUAUUCUGGCGGGCAUGCCUGUCCGAGCGUCAUUUCAACCCUCGAACCCCUCCGGGGGGUCGGCGUUGGGGAUCGGCACUUACCUGCCGGCCCCGAAAUACAGUGGCGGUCUCGCCGCAGCCUCUCCUGCGCAGUAGUUUGCACACUCGCACCGGGAGCGCGGCGCGUCCACGGCCGUAAAACAACCCAAACUUCUGAAAUGUUGACCUCGGAUCAGGUAGGAAUACCCGCUGAACUUAAGCAUAUCAAUAAGCGGAGG